GAUGCGCCUGACGUGGCCGUCCCCUCCCCCAGCGCCCCGCAAGUGUUCGGGAGGAAGGCCGCGGGGGCAUCUGCCAUCAGGAAAGACAAAAUGGAGCCACGCAGGGGAAAGCAGCAUGGGGUGGGGGAAGGUGGCACGUUUCCGGCGCAAGGAGAGGAAGAACAGGUGCUCCUCCAAGGAAGACUGCCGCUGCUCCCCGGGCCCUGGCAGCCUGCCCCGCCGCAGAGCUGCGCGCACGCCGGCCUCCUGGCAGCGGAGCCCGCGGCGGAACCACCACAGCGAAGCAUUCUGUCCCCUCGCAGCUGCUCUCCCAAAAACUACAGGUCCUCCAGGAGGCCGAGAUAAACCUACGCGCAGCCUUGUCUUCCGGGAGAGGAGAGUGCCUGUUUCCCCACGCGAAAUGAUGUUUAAGAUCCCUGCCCGAGCCCCCAGUCCCGCAGUUAAGCAUCAACUGGCCGGCUAACGGGAUUGUUCUUCCGCUUGGCAUUUGCAAG
rnacentral:lncRNA from 1 species